CGGGGUGUAGCGCAGUCUGGUAGCGCACCAGUAUGGGGUACUGGUGGUCGGAGGUUCAAAUCCUCUCACCCCGACCA
rnacentral:tRNA from 1 species